AGUGAAAUUCUGUGUACAAGUGAGAGACCCAAGACUUGUUCUAAUACUCCAGCAAAGUCCUUAUCAAGGCACUGUUCCCUCAUGGCAGUAAAAGCCGCAGUGACGGAGGUCAGCUGUUCCUGUGUGAUCUGGGGCUUGUAUUUGAUGAGGUUGAUGAGCAUUCUGCAAGAAAAGCAAAGCAAGCACUGUGAACCUGGAAGGGCAGCAGUGAGCAAGCCACUGCCUUCACAUAUGUAAAGCUCCAGCCAAACCCCACAGAAGAACAUUCAUUCAUACAAGGGCAGCACGGAGCCUGGUGUUUAUAACUCCUGUAGGCAAAGAAGGCGAAACCCAAAGAAAGGAGGUGGCUGGCCAACGCUGUGCAACAGUCACCUAGCAGAACAAGGAAGACUGAAGUCCUCUUGCUCUAUUUGCUGAAGCUUCUUGCUUGCCAUUUGAUAGGUGCUAGGUAACUACCUAAACAGAGAAGUUAACUCUCUAGCUAGACGGCACAGACAAGUAGUGAGAUAAGCGGAUUUGGUUUGUUAGAAGAAAAGAAAGAACAGAGGACAGGCAGAUAUUAUGUUUUGCUGAAAGUUGCAUGGAAAAUAUAUGGCACUGAAGCAGUGUUAGGUCAUUUUAGUCACAAAGUGGUUCUUUCUGCCCUUUUGGAUGAUUUGAUGCUGAAAAAAGUCAAAUGGGAGAGUCAAGCAGAUUUUUAGACUGAAGAAACAAACUCCAGGUUUGUCAAGCAACCACAACCUCACAUGAGGAAAAAAAUGAAAACAAGAAAAAAGGCAUUUAAUUUUUCCAACCAUAUAAAAAUUAAAUGAAUUUUACCCUAUCGUGCAUACACUCCAGCAUAUCUCCACGACAGCAGUCCUUGUGCAUGUUAGCAAUAUCCAUCACAAGUUUGCUAACAGUAACAAAAUCAGCUUUAGGAAAUUUCUGGCUUAUCUGAGCAAGUUUCCUGGAAUGAAAAACAAUACAUACUGCUUAUAUUAACAAAGCGAG